rnacentral:lncRNA from 1 species
AGGCUUCUUGGUUAUUCCCAAGUUUGCAUUAUAAAAUGCCUCAAUAGUGCCAAUAUCUUCCCAGUAACCAUCAUAUAAGUAAGCUUGUACCUAUAAAACACAACGUCAUCAAAAGCAAACAUAGUAAUUUGCAUAUAUGGAUAUAGGAGCCAAGCAACAAAUGAUGUAACAACAAUCUUUUAAUGAUAGAAAUAUACAAAUCAUGCAACCCACAACAAUAGACUUAAAAAUAGGAAAAAGAAACAAAAAAAAACGUUCAAGAGCAUACAUACCCUCAUUCCAAUUUCUGUUGCUCCAGGAAUAAC